CCUACGGGUGGCUGCAGUGAGGAAUAUUGGUCAAUGGGCGCGAGCCUGAACCAGCCAAGUAGCGUGAAGGAUGACUGCCCUACGGGUUGUAAACUUCUUUUAUAAAGGAAUAAAGUGAGGCACGUGUGCCUUUUUGUAUGUAUUUCAUGAAUAAGGAUCGGAUAACUCCGUGCCAGCAGCCGCGGUAAUACGGAGGAGCCGAGCGUUAUCCGGAUUUAUUGGGUGUAAAGGGAGCGUAGAUGGGUUGUUAAGUCAGUUGUGAAAGUUUGCGGCUCAACCGUAAAAUUGCAGUUGAUACUGGCAGCCUUGAGUACAGUUGAGGUAGGCGGAAUUCGUGGUGUAGCGGUGAAAUGCUUAGAUAUCACGAAGAACUCCGAUUGCGAAGGCAGCUUACUAAACUGCAACUGACAUUGAUGCUCGAAAGUGUGGGUAUCAAACAGGAUUAGAUACCCGAGUAGUC
rnacentral:rRNA from 1 species